rnacentral:lncRNA from 1 species
UCUCAACCACCACCUCACCUUCAAUUCCAGCGUUCUGUGCAAUCAAUGACGCAGGUGCCACCAACGCCUUUUGAAUAAUAUCAGCACCCAAACGUUCAUCAGCAUCAUCAAGCUUUUCUUUAAUGGCAGGAACUAAUGUUGACAGAUGAACAAAUGCAGCUCCACCUCCAGGGACUAUUCCUUCUUCUAUAGCUGCAAAUGUCGCGUUUUUCGCAUCCUCAAUUCGAAGUUUUCGGUCUUCUAAUUCGGUUUCGGUUGCAGCACCCACUUUUAUG